GGGUUCCCCUGGGGGGCUCUCCCAGCUGGGGACCUUGGGGACAACCCUGGGGUGCUGAUGUGUCACUCUCUGACCAGGUGUCUCUUCUCUCCCCCUCUCGCUGACCGCAGCGGCGCAGCCCGGGCACGAUUAAAAGGAAUUUAUCCAGUAAGUAUCUCCUGGAGUCUGCAAACAGCAGCCUUGCACCUUGGAGGGGUUUGUGAGUGAGUUCAAUUUGGGUUCAAGUGCUCCUGGCAGAGCUGGUGGCUCCCAAAUUUUUCCCUGGAGAAGGUGUGGGGGACAUCCUUGGGACAUCAUAAAAAAA